GGAAUCUUCGGCAAUGGGCGAAAGCCUGACCGAGCAACGCCGCGUGAAUGAAGAAGGCCUUCGGGUUGUAAAACCCUGUUGUUCGAGAAGAAAGUGCGUGAGAGUAACUGUUCACGUUUCGACGGUAUCUAACCAGAAAGCCACGGCUAACUACGUGCCAGCAGCCGCGGUAAUACGUAGGUGGCAAGCGUUAUCCGGAAUUAUUGGGCGUAAAGAGCGCGCAGGUGGUUAAUUAAGUCUGAUGUGAAAGCCCACGGCUUAACCGUGGAGGGUCAUUGGAAACUGGUUGACUUGAGUGCAGAAGAGGGAAGUGGAAUUCCAUGUGUAGCGGUGAAAUGCGUAGAGAUAUGGAAGAACACCAGUGGCGAAAGCGGCUCUCUGGUCUGUAACUGACGCUGAGGUUCGAAAGCGUGGGUAGCA
rnacentral:rRNA from 1 species